UACGGAGGGUGCAAGCGUUAUCCGGAUUCACUGGGUUUAAAGGGUGCGUAGGUGGGUUGGUAAGUCAGUGGUGAAAUCCCCGAGCUUAACUUGGGAACUGCCAUUGAUACUAUCAGUCUUGAAUACCGUGGAGGCUAGCGGAAUAUGUCAUGUAGCGGUGAAAUGCUUAGAUAUGACAUAGAACACCAAUUGCGAAGGCAGCUGGCUACACGAAUAUUGACACUGAUGCACGAAAGCGUGGGGAUCAAACAGG
rnacentral:rRNA from 1 species